UCCCUGGUGGCUCAGAGGUUAAAGCGUCUGCCUCCAAUUCGGGAGACCCGGGUUCGAUCCCUGGGUGGGGAA
rfam:Ovis aries breed Texel chromosome 15, whole genome shotgun sequence.